rnacentral:rRNA from 1 species
UGGAUCCUACGGGGCGCAGCAGUGGGGAAUAUUGCACAAUGGGGGAAACCCUGAUGCAGCGACGCCGCGUGAGUGAAGAAGUAUUUCGGUAUGUAAAGCUCUAUCAGCAGGGAAGAAGAAAGACGGUACCUGACUAAGAAGCCCCGGCUAACUACGUGCCAGCAGCCGCGGUAAUACGUAGGGAGCGAGCGUUGUCCGGAAUUACUGGGCGUAAAGGGCGCGUAGGCGGGAACUUAAGUUAGAUGUGAAAACUCCGGGCUUAACCUGGAGACUGCAUUUAAAACUGGGUUUCUUGAGGGCAGGAG